UCAAAGCCGGAUGACAGCCAAUCAAUCAACCGUCAAAUCAGACAUGGCAACGGUUGAUUAUAGCUUCUUCCAGUCCACAUAAUCCUUUUGUCUGUACCCAAUUGUUUAUUUUAUCAAAGAAAAGGAGAGGUCAUUCUUCCACCUCCCAAUUCCAAAGUUAGCCGCUUGGCUCAAAUGUUCACAAAGACCCUACUACAGAGACAGUAGGCUCUGGCACCGCCUUGGGCAUUCCGUUAUAGCAGACUGAGCACCGUUUCCCCACAUUCUAAUUCUUCCACCACGGCCAGGGAUUCUGAGCUGAGACGACAGACAGCAUCAUCACUCCUCCAGAGAGAGGGUGAUGGAUCCAGAAGACAGGGAAGCAGAGAAGAGGGACCAGAGAGACCAGAGGGACAAGAGAGACCAG